UACGUAGGGUGCGAGCGUUGUCCGGAAUUAUUGGGCGUAAAGGGCUCGUAGGCGGUCUGUUGCGUCAGGAGUGAAAAACUCAGGGCUUAACCCUGAGCUUGCAGUGGGUACGGGCAGACUAGAGUGCGGUAGGGGGAGACUGGAAUUCCUGGUGUAGCGGUGAAAUGCGCAGAUAUCAGGAGGAACACCGGUGGCGAAGGCGGGGUCUCUGGGCCGUAACUGACGCUGAGGAGCGAAAAGCAUGGGGGAGCGAACAGG
rnacentral:rRNA from 1 species